AAGUAGGGAAGAACAGCUAAGUUCGCGCCGUCCUGGCGCAACGCUGUUCUGACCCGCAUCCUGCGGG
rnacentral:sRNA from 1 species